GUUAUUUAAACAGGCACAAAGCCAAGGUUGGUGAUUCACUGCCCCCACACCUUGUGACCUCGAUGGAAUUAUGUGAUCCUUCCUUAACCCACAGGAUGUCCUGCCCAGUUGACUACUUCAAAAUGGUGAAAGUCCUCAAUGUUACUGUCCAUGCUAAAACAGGCUUUUGGGCACACUAAAAUAGAUAGAGGACUAUCUAUCUAUCUUGAUAGGACUUAUAGGCUGUCUCCCAAAUGGGCCCUGGUCGAAAGUAGUGCACUACAUAGGGAAUAGGGUGCCAUUGGCCAUAGGGCCCUGGUCGAAAGUAGUGCACUACAUAGGGAAUAGGGUGCCAUUGGCCAUAGGGCCCUGGUCUAAAGUAGUGCACUACAUAGGGAAUAGGGUGCCAUUGGCCAUAGGGCCCUGGUCAAAAGUAGUGCACUACAUAGGGAAUAGGGUGCCAUUUGGGACCCAAACAUGGACUUACAGGUGUUGGUGUAUGUAUACUUCAUAUCUAAGAGACAAUCGUAACCCAAGACUCGUCUGGAGCUGCGUUCAACUGGACUUUUUUUCUUCCAUUUUUGUCGGAAUUGAAAAAAAUAAAUGCAAAGAGAGGAACCUUCUGUACCCUGAGGUCAUAGUUCAUCCUUUACCCUGAGGUCAUGGUUCAUCCUUUACCCUGAGGUCAUAGUUCAUCCUUUACCCUGAGGUCAUGGUUCAUCCUUUACCCUGAGGUCAUAGUUCAUCCUUUACCCUGAGGUCAUGGUUUAUCCUUUACCCUGAGGUCAUGGUUCAUCCUUUACCCUGAGGUCAUAGUUCAUCCUUUACCCUGAGGUCAUGGUUCAUCCUUUACCCUGAGGUCAUGGUUCAUCCUUUACCCUGAGGUCAUAGUUCAUCCUUUACCCUGAGGUCAUGGUUUAUCCUUUACCCUGAGGUCAUAGCUCAUCCUUUACCCUGAGGUCAUAGUUCAUCCUUUACCCUGAGGUCAUGGUUUAUCCUUUACCCUGAGGUCAUAGUUCAUCCUUUACCCUGAGGUCAUAGUUCAUUCUGUACCCUGAGGUCAUAGUUCAUCCUUUACCCUGAGGUCAUAGUUCAUUCUGUACCCUGAGGUCAUAGUUCAUCCUUUACCCUGAGGUCAUGGUUCAUCCUUUACCCUGAGGUCAUAGUUCAUCCUUUACCCUGAGGUCAUGGUCCAUCAUUUACCCUGAGGUCAUAGCUCAACCUUUAUCCUGAGGUCAUAGCUCAUCCUUUACCCUGAGAUCAUAGCUCAUCCUUUACCCUGAGGUCAUAGCUCAUCCUUUACCAUGAGGUCAUAGCUCAUCCUUUACCCUGAGGUCAUAGCUCAUCCUUUACCCUGAGGUCAUAGCUCAUCCUUUACCCUGAGGUCAUAGCUCAUCCUUUACCCUGAGGUCAUAGCUCAUCCUUUAUCCUGGGCUCAAGUUGGAAGUUGUCCCUAGACACAAAGAUCAGUUUAACGUUGGCCACUUUCCUCUAAAGCAAUGCACUGUGGGACCAGGGUUGGGGUUGGGGGGGAGAGAGUCGAUUGCAUCCCAAAUGGCAUCCGAUUUCCUAUAUACGGUCAACAGUAGUGCACUACAGAGGGAAUAGGGAGACAUUCUGGUCUAAUGUAGUGCACUACUGAGGGAAUAGGGUGCCAUUCUGGUCAACAGUAGUGCACUACAGAGGGAAUAGGGUGCCAUUCUGGUCUAAUGUAGUGCACUACAGAGGGAAUAGGGAGCCAUUCUGGUCAACAGUAGUGCACUACAGAGGGAAUAGGGAACCCUCUGGUCAACAGUAGUGCACUACAGAGGGAAUAGGGUGCCAUUCUGGUCUAAUGUAGUGCACUACAGAGGGAAUAUGGAGCUAUUCUGGUCAACAGUAGUGCACUACAGAGGGAAUAGCGAACCCUCUGGUCAACAGUAGUGCACUACAGAGGGAAUAGGGUGCCAUUCUGGUCAACAGUAGUGCACUACAGAGGGAAUAGGGAACCCUCUGGUCAACAGUAGUGCACUACAGAGGGAAUAGGGUGCCAUUCUGGUCUAAUGUAGUGCACUACAGAGAGUAGGGUGUAAUUUGGGACGCCGACGGGGUCUUCCACCACCUCUGUUGUUUUGUAAAUCUGUAUUUGGCACUUUAUCAGACGGACCCACCCUGCUGCAUAUC
ensembl:lncRNA